GAAGAGGCUCUAUUUUCUCCAUUGUAUGUCUUUGGCUCCUUUGUCAAAUAUCAGCUGACUCUAAGUAUCUGGUUUUAUUUCCGGGUCUUCUACACUAUUCCAUUGAUCUUUGGGUUUGUUUUUGUGCCAGUACCAGGCUGUUUUUGUUACAAUGGCUCUGUAAUAAAGCUUGAGGUCUGGCAUGUGAUACU